GGUGAAACACCUGUUCUCGUACGAUCGCCAAAGUUAAGCAACAUGGAUCCUGGUCAGUACCUAAAUGGGUGACCGCUUGAAAAUACCAGGUGCUGUAAG